GAUGCGGGGGUUUAGUGACGUAAGUUUUGCAAGAGAAUAUGCUCAAGCUCAGCGGUGCUAUUAACUGAUCUUCCAGCUGGGAACAGGGAAAAGAGCAAAGUUUUCGUCAUGAUGGUGUAAUGUUUAGAUGUGUAUGUGUGCAUAAUAUGUAUUUGGUCUGGCAACUGUGACUGACUGCUUUCUACAGUAUAAAGUAUCCAUAUUCUUUCAAAGUACCAGCCAAGUGCCGAGAUCGAUGCAGUUGACCAACACCUAUCCCCUCAAAAUUGCUGACCUUGUGCCUAAAACUGAAAUCAUUAUUUGGUUCGAUAUUUUCCUCUGAAAAAUACUUUGAAAUUAAAGUUUUGUGGAAAGAUUGACAGAGACGGCUGUAACAGCAUCUUCAACACACCUUACUAAAUACUGCUUGUUAUAGCCUAUUAACAACUGCUUGUCACAAUCCCAUCUUAGUGACCAACUACUUGACACAGAUGAACAUCAAAACUGACCCUUACCUUCCCCAGGGACGGACCUGGUGGGGGGGGGGGGUACCUGCACCCCUCCAGAAAAGAAGUGCGCCCUUCUAAAUGUUAUUACGCCCUUUUCUCCUGGAAUUGUAUUCCCUUCUGACCUUGUGCCCUUCCUUCGAAAACUUCCUGAGACCUCACCUGCUCCAUACAGUCCAGAUCUUGCUCCCUGUGACUUUUGGUUGUUCCCCAGGAUGAAGGGGGACCUCAGGGGCUAUCGUUUUGAAAACAUUGAGAAAAUGGAGGCUGUGACAAGAGUCCUGGACAUCUUCACUUUGGAGGACUUCCAUGAGACCUUCACAAAGUAGCUAGGACGCUACAAGUACGUUGAAGUCAGUGGAUCCUACUUUGGAGGAGAUUAGAGUUUGCACUUCUAUGAAAUUAAUGUUUCUCCUGAAAAAACUUUUACAAUGCACCUCAGAUAUUCGUUUUACAUUGAGAUAUCCUUUCAGAAAGAGCAGAAAACCCCGCUAGCUAAACUAAUUCUUAGGAACUUAAUACUUUCCUUCAUUAAUCUAUAUGAAAUCCCAUCACGUGAGUGCAGUUUGUUUUCGAUAGCAAGCUAUGAGAAUGUGCGCACUGCCUGCGCGCCUAGAAUCAAAUGUAUUACCUAUCUUAAUGUCGGUAAAAAUAUUUCAACUCUAGAGUGAUUAAUAGACAAAGACUAUCAAUAAAUCAAAUGUUUUCUGCUGAGGCAUUGAAGACAUGAAACCGAAAACAAAAGUCGUUCUGCGCGUUCAUAAGAGACUUCUACAAAUUAUGACGUCACAAUAGAAAUACAUCGAAGUUUUCAAGCAAAAUUAUAGAAUUUUGAUAUCUGUUUAUGGAAUCGAUGUAUAAUUUUUUUUUAAAAACCGGAGCAGCAAUACCAAAACAAACAAGGCCACUUUUAUGCAUGAAAAUAUCAACUCCUGCACAUACAUAGUUCAAUAUAUAAGAAUAUGUUUAACCCCCACCCCUGUAGGCAAUAAAGAAAUAAACAUAUAAGUAUAUAAAACGUUUAAAGAGGAAUACGUUAAGGAAUAAAUUAGAAUCGUAAUAUGGUAUACUCUUACCACAAAAGAUGUUGACUACUGUAUAAAGCGUGACGGUAGUGGAUUGAGAGUUGUUAAGAAGAUGGACACUAUCUUCCAUUUUAUAAUCCAUCGUCCUUAAAAGUGGAUUUGAUUGAUGGAAAUUGUGUGGAAUCCCGUCGUAUGUACGUGUGUAAAUGUGUGUAUGUAAUUGUGUUGUGUUGUCCCCCACAACCACUUGACAACCAUCGUUGGUUUGUUUACGUCUCUAUAACUUGGAGAUUUGGCAAAAGAAACUGAUAGAAUAAGUACCAGGCUUUAAGAAGUACUGCAGUUGAACUUGUUUGACUAAACCCUUCAAGAUUGUACCCUGACACAACCGCAAUUCAAUGACUGAAACAAGUAAAAGAUAAAAGAUUAAUGACAGACAAGGCCGACUGAAGGUCCUAGCAAACUUAAGCAAUCACUAGGGAUGUUCCAAAUACAAUUCCAAAAAUGUGAAAAUAAAAAAAUAAAAUGAAAUAAAAACAAAAUAUUCUUUUAAAUCACUGAGAGGAGACAAACUUAUAAUUAUAAAAUGACAUAUAGAUAAUAUAGACUGCACCAGCAAAAAUCGGAAGUACAACUCAGCAGACACUGCAACAUCUGUGAUGAAAUACA